rnacentral:misc_RNA from 2 species
AACGCAUCUUGCGCUCCUUGGUAUUCCGAGGAGCAUGCCUGUUUGAGUGUCGUGAACUCUCUCAACCUUUCUCUUUCUCUUCGGAGGAGGGGCUAGGGUUGGAUUUGGACGCCUGCCGCGGGGUCUCUCGCGGCUCGUCUUGAAAUGCAUUAGCUGGUCCACCUCGGUACAACAACGGUGUGAUAAGAAACGCUUCGUGACUGUGGCGCCGUUGUAAGCCGACCUUAGGAGGAUCGCUUCUAAUCGUCUUCGGACAGCACUUUACGUCAUCUGACCUCAAAUCAGGUAGGACUACCCGCUGAACUUAA